ACGCUGGCGGCAGGCCUAACACAUGCAAGUCGAGCGGUAGAGAGAAGCUUGCUUCUCUUGAGAGCGGCGGACGGGUGAGUAGUGCCUAGGAAUCUGCCUGGUAGUGGGGGAUAACGUUCGGAAACGGACGCUAAUACCGCAUACGUCCUACGGGAGAAAGCAGGGGACCUUCGGGCCUUGCGCUAUCAGAUGAGCCUAGGUCGGAUUAGCUAGUUGGUGGGGUAAUGGCUCACCAAGGCGACGAUCCGUAACUGGUCUGAGAGGAUGAUCAGUCACACUGGAACUGAGACACGGUCCAGACUCCUACGGGAGGCAGCAGUGGGGAAUAUUGGACAAUGGGCGAAAGCCUGAUCCAGCCAUGCCGCGUGUGUGAAGAAGGCCUUCGGAUUGUAAAGCACUUUAAGUUGGGAGGAAGGGCAGUUGCCUAAUACGUAACUGUUUUGACGUUACCGACAGAAUAAGCACCGGCUAACUCUGUGCCAGCAGCCGCGGUAAUACAGAGGGUGCAAGCGUUAAUCGGAAUUACUGGGCGUAAAGCGCGCGUAGGUGGUUUGUUAAGUUGGAUGUGAGAUCCCCGGGUUCAACCUGGGAACUGCACUCAAAACUGACUGACUAGAGUAUGGUAGAGGGUGGUGGAAUUUCCUGUGUAGCGGUGAAAUGCGUAGAUAUAGGAAGGAACACCAGUGGCGAAGGCGACCACCUGGACUGAUACUGACACUGAGGUGCGAAAGCGUGGGGAGCAAAC
rnacentral:rRNA from 1 species